UGUGCAAUGAAUAGGCAAGGUCCCAUGAAACACAUAUCAUACUUUCAUAGACAUCAUCUUAACAUGCAUAGUAGUAGACACUAGUGAAUAUGAGAACUACCUUUCAUUUAGACACCAUGACCUAUAUUACUUGUAAGCAUGAAUAAUGUGUGAGUGCGUGUGUACAUUGGUCAACAUGAUCACAUAAUGGUUAUCCAUAACAUCUUGAGGCAUGCAGACUCUUAAGUCCACAAUGCACAACAAAGCAUAGACCACACAACACCAUUUAGCGUGGAGGCAAGACAAUCUUCACAUUACAUUCAAGACUCCUAACCUUAGCUAUUCACACAUUCACAAUAGGGUUACAUGGGUAGGGGUCAUCAAUCCUUAAUACUUCUUUAAUAGCAGCACCUACACAUGAUCCUAACAUAAACAUUCACAUGCUCAUGACAAUAGUAACAUAACCUAGAUUCACAACUAAAGUAGAAGACUAGGCACAAGUUACACAUAAGGUGAUCAUCAUAACCACUCAUUCAUAUAUUCAUCAAUUCGCCUUCAAGGGCAUGUUCAACAUAUAUAUAAUGACAAUAAAGUAAACACCGCCACUACAAGUAGACCAUACCAUACAAUGCCAUACAAGGUUUCAUCAACAUUACUAUAAAGAAGUAGAGAAGUAGAAGAGUAGAGAAAUUAUUACCAAUCCAUUACUACUUUUUCAUGAAUAAUUCAAGUAUAGGGAAAUAUCUAAUGUACCAUAAUCAUAAAAGAAACCAUGUACAAGUCGCUACAAGAUCAUAUUACAAUCUAAUACAAUAUAUCACAUAUAUAUACUAGAAAGUAGAAGAACAUAGAUCUUUAACCCAAUUCACUUGCAUUGAUGAUCAAUAACAAUUUAUCAUCAAUACAAUGUACGGCAGUAGCUAAAGAGAUCAUUAUUCAAACGAAAUCAUGCUUCAUCUACCCUAACAUUUAGAUCAUGUCAUAUACACUACAACAUUCACUUUAUAGGCUAGAAGAAUCUAAAUUAAUCUUUACCAAUUCAAUUGUUAUCCAUUCAUGUUAGAUCAAUUAUACCUAAUUAUCAUCACAUUAUACGUAUAGUCAGUAUCUAAGGACAAUUAACCAUGAUCGAGUCAUAUAACAACCAACCUAACGUCAAGAUCACAAGUUACCACUUGAUAAACUAAAAGAACUUAGAUAACCUCAUAUUAAUCCUUCUUCACCUUGAUCAUACACGAUUUAUACUUACAAUUCAAUCAUUAUAUUAACCUUAGGAAGUAGCUACAAGACUCUCAACAUAUUUGAAAUCCACUUUUAUACAAUUAAGGACCAAUGUUACAGUAAACACAUAGAACAUGAACUAGUCAUGUUAAAUUCUUCAUACAUUGAUCCACAUGGAUCACUCAUCAUCAAUUCAUCAUCAAUUCAAGUAAAUAACAGUAUAUUUAGACAAUUCAACGUAAGAGAAUCGCAAUUCAACUAUUAACAAGCUAUGAUCACAAUGCCCAUGCAAGGGCUAAAUCGAUUUUGGGAAGAGACAUUGGUUCAUAAUGCAAUUGGAUUAAAUUUCACGUUAAAAGCAUUACAUUAACAUCAAUUCAUCAUGAUUAAGCCAUUAAAAACAUUUUUAGAAAGAACUCAUGGCUAGAUUGAAAAAGAAGAAGUUUGAUCGUGAAAUCUCUUUUUGAAACUUAGAGAUUAACUCUCUAGAUGGAAGGAUAACUAGUGAUGAAGGAUCACCAUACUUUGUAUAGUUGAAAACCUAUAAAUCUUGAUGAAGAAAUCAUAGAAAUCCAACCUACAACUUGUUCUUGAGCUUCACCUUCAAGGAGGUUUCUAGGGAGAAUUAGUUUUGGAGGAAAAGUCUAUUUUGUGUGUAUGGGAUUGGGAAUGGGUUGAUCACGUUUUUUAUCACUUAUAUACACCCAAAAAUAUCUAAAUAAAUCAAAUAGGAUCAGGUUAGUAUGUAGGGUUAAUUUACCAUUCACCCCUUUAAUGAGGCAGUCGCAUGGCAGCAGUUGCAGGCCACCAUCGACAGACAGCAUCGACGGAGCGUCGACUGGACGACGGGGCGUCCUGCUGCUCCAUCGUUAGUGACUGCAGCUUCCUCUUGGUGGCUUCAGCUCCUAUGGCUAAGUGUCAACCCACGCCCUAAUAGACGGGGCGUCGAUGGACUGACGAGGCGUCACUUAGAGCCCCGUGGGUCCUUCUUGUAGGCCUUUUUGCGGGGCCCUUGGGAAGUCAUACCCGGACAUUUACAACGUAAAUACGAACAUUGAAAAUUCAAGGACCUUCCAUGCAAGUUUCACCCAAAAUUCACACAUAAAACACGUCCAAACAUGCUAGGCCCCAUCAAGACAUACCUGAACGUUUCAAGGGCUAACUUUUGAACGUCUUAGACGUUCUUGGACGUUUGACCUCCAAACUUCAUGAAACUCCAUAUAAUGAAUAUAAACAUAAUUAUAACUCAUUUUAAGACUUCAUAAUCUCAUGAUGUACAAAUAUAAGGACGUAUAGACACAUGAGGCACAUAGGUGACUAGUUGUUGAACGUCUUGGUCGUCCCUUGACGUUCGACUUCCAAAUUACCUCAAACCUUACACACUGCCUCAAUACCAUAUUAUAAGCCAUUUUAGGACAUUAGUCCCUUAUGACAAAUAUGUUAGGCUCUAGACACCCUAACUCAGUUUUGGGGUCUUACAGUAUAUAUGCAGGUUUUUAAAUGGAAAAGGGGUCAAAGCCCAAACUCUUUUGUUCAAGCAGGUUCAGAAGAAAAUGAGACCUAAGAGGCCCAAAGGAGUGGUCCAUCAACAGAACUUUGAUGCAGCUAUGCUAAAGCAUAGAGGACUCCUAUAAUAACUCAACAGCAGAUUAACAAACAGAUGAUUAGAACACAUGUUAAAGAGAUCAAGACCUUUGGGUGUAUCAGAUGAAGUAUGAUAUGUGAGAGGAUUGCUAACAGAAGUUUCAAGAUUUGGGAUCUCGGGUAAUGUUUAAUGGCUUUAUAGGAAUAUGUGGAACCUGUUGAUUGCAUUGACAAUCAUUUAUCAUGUAUGGAUGAAUGUUUUUGUAGUCUCAACUUAAUAGACUUAUCGCUUAAGUUGCUCAUCGUGCAAGAGAAAUAUUAGGUGUCGCCUCUUUCGGCUUAUGGAAAUUACCAACUAGUUUUAUUCUUGAGGUAUGUUUCUCUAUUGCAAUCUGACUAACAUCACGAUCACUUUUGACUGAAGUAUUGAAACGUGUUAAUUGCAUUUUCGUGCCCCCUUUGAAAUGUUGUGUCAAAAUCAGUGUGGGGUUAUAUUUUGCAGGAGUUGUAAGAGAAGUUAAGGAAAAAAUAGGAGUAUGAAAUUCACAAGCAACAUAUUCCUCUACCUAAAUGAGCAAAUAUGUAAUGAACAAUUGUUUUCUUAAUGAUUAUUAUUCUUUUCUCAUUCAAUUUGAGAAGGUUAUGGCUUUCAGGGAACAAACUCUUCAUCUUAUGGCUAAUGAUUAUUUUGUGUCCUUCUAUUGAUUAGAAGAGUUACGUUACAAAUCUUAUAAGAACAUGAAAUGUUGAUACCAUAACUAUCCACAUGACUUGGCUUAGACACAGAGAAUGUGAAAUUCCUAUUAGCUAGACUUUAAUGUUGUGUGAUUAAUAAUUAGCUCUAAGUUAACUAGAACACUUGGUAAAUAAUUACCUUUUGAAGUUCUUUAUCCCUUAUUCACUAUGUUAGUCAUGUAUUAUAAUUUCCAGUUUGUAGUUGCUCGCUUUUUUGUUAUUUAGCAUUAAAAUAAUGACUACAGAGUCCAUCACUAAAGUGAAGUCUAUAUAACUUUUUGUAUGCACAAAGUAAUCACAUUUUUAGCAGUUUUAGCCUUUGCUUUUAUAUUGCUGCUAUAAUGCAUUGGAGAGGAAAAAAUGAUUCAUAUCUAAAGUGACUUUUAGUUGUUUCUUAUUAUGUAGUUAUGUUUUUCAUGACAUUUUAGCACCUCAGUUGUUAGAUCUCUCAAAAUCAAAUAUUGAUUUCAUGUCACUUACUGCAGGUGUCUAGCUACGAAGAUGACCACAUGGAUAUGACCAAUGUAGAUUAUGCGAGUUCUCAUAGAGUAUUAAUUCUAGAAUAUGAUAUGGUCAUUUCUUUUCGGAUGGAUGUAAUAUAUUGCUCCUUAACAUUUAAAGAAUUUUGAUAUGUAAUUUUGAAAUGCUUAUAUUUUUCAUAUAUGAUGGCUAAUUUGUUUCAAUAAUCUUACUUA